rnacentral:rRNA from 1 species
UACGUAGGGGGCAAGCGUUGUCCGGAAUUAUUGGGCGUAAGGAGCGCGUAGGCGGUCCGAUAAGUCGGCUGUGAAAGUCAGGGGCUCAACCCUUGAAAGCCGGCCGAUACUGUGGGACUAGAGUACGGAAGAGGCGAGUGGAAUUCCUGGUGUAGCGGUGGAAUGCGCAGAUAUCAGGAGGAACACCAAUAGCGAAGGCAGCUCGCUGGGACGUUACUGACACUGAGGCGCGAAAGCGUGGGGAGCGAACAGG